rnacentral:rRNA from 1 species
UUAGAGUUUGAUCCUGGCUCAGGAUGAACGCUAGCGGCAGGCUUAACACAUGCAAGUCGCGGGGCAGCGGGAGUAGCAAUACUCGCCGGCGACCGGCGGAAGGGUGCGUAACGCGUGAGCAACAUGCCCGUAUCAGGGAGAUAACCGAUGGAAACGUCGCCUAAUAUCCCAUAACAACAGGUUCCGCAUGCUACCUGUUUGAAAGUUGAGGCGGAUACGGAUUGGCUCGCGUGACAUUAGCUAGUUGGAGUGGUAACGGCACACCAAGGCGACGAUGUCUAGGGGUUCUGAGAGGAAGGUCCCCCACACUGGAACUGAGACACGGUCCAGACUCCUACGGGAGGCAGCAGUGAGGAAUAUUGGUCAAUGGACGCAAGUCUGAACCAGCCAUGCCGCGUGCAGGAAUGAGGCCCUAUGGGUCGUAAACUGCUUUUGUGGUGGAGCAAUAAGCGUCACGUGUGGCGCGAUGAGAGUACAUCACGAAUAAGCAUCGGCUAACUCCGUGCCAGCAGCCGCGGUAAUACGGAGGAUGCGAGCGUUAUCCGGAUUUAUUGGGUUUAAAGGGUGCGCAGGCGGCGCGUCAAGUCAGCGGUCAAAAUGCGGCGCUCAACGCCGUACCGCCGUUGAAACUGGCGAGCUCGAGUGCGUGCGAGGGAGGCGGAAUGCGCAGUGUAGCGGUGAAAUGCAUAGAUAUUGCGCAGAACUCCGAUUGCGAAGGCAGCUUUCCAGCACGCCACUGACGCUCAUGCACGAAAGCGUGGGUAUCGAACAGGAUUAGAUACCCUGGUAGUCCACGCGGUAAACGAUGAUAACUAGUUAUUCGCCAAAAUUGAUUGGUGAGUGACCGAGCGAAAGCGUUAAGUUAUCCACCUGGGGAGUACGCCGGCAACGGUGAAACUCAAAGGAAUUGACGGGGACCCGCACAAGCGGUGGAGCAUGUGGUUUAAUUCGAAGCAACGCGAAGAACCUUACCAAAUCUUGACAUCCCGGUGACCAUCUGUGUAAUGCAGACUCUCUUCGGAGCACCGGUGACAGGUGGUGCAUGGUUGUCGUCAGCUCGUGUCGUGAGAUGUUGGGUUAAGUCCCGCAACGAGCGCAACCCCUGUCCUUAGUAGCCAGCAGUUCGGCUGGGCACUCUAGGGAGACUGCCGGGGAUAACCCGGAGGAAGGUGGGGAUGACGUCAAAUCAUCAUGCCCCUUAUGAUUUGGGCUACACACGUGCUACAAUGGCGUAAACAAAGAGAAGCGAUCCUGUGAGGGGGAGCAAAUCUCAAGAAUAACGUCUCAGUUCGGAUUAUAGUCUGCAACUCGACUACAUGAAGCUGGAAUCGCUAGUAAUCGCGAAUCAGAAUGUCGCGGUGAAUACGUUCCCGGGUCUUGUACACACCGCCCGUCAAG